AAUAUUGGACAAUGGGGGCAACCCUGAUCCAGCCAUGCCGCGUGUGUGGAGAAGGUCUNCGGAUUNUNAAGCACUUUAAGUUGGGNGGAAGGGCUAUAGGUUAAUACCCUGAAGUUUUGACGUUACCAACAGAUUAAGCACCGGCUAACUCUGUGCCAGCAGCCGCGGUAAUACAGAGGGUGCAAGCGUUAAUCGGAAUUACGGGGCGUAAAGCGCGGGUAGGUGGUUCAGUAAGAUGGGUGUGAAAGCCCCGGGCUUAACCUGGAAACUGCUUUCAUAACUGCUGAGCUAGAGUACGGUAGAGGGUAGUGGAAUUUCCUGUGUAGCGGUAAAAUGCGUAGUUAUAGGAAGGAACACCAGUGGCGAAGGCGACUACCUGGACUGAUACUGACACUGAGGUGCGAAAGCGUGGGGAGCAAAAA
rnacentral:rRNA from 1 species